CAAUUGAACAAAUGAAAAGCUGAUAUGAAAUAUUUAGAAGGUAACGUGUUGGAGAGGACGUCGUUCGACAACAGUCCUUCCUUCAGUCCUUCCUCGGUUCAUCUCCUUGGUUGAGAAGAGCGGAUAACAAUUGGGUAAUAAACGACUGAUCAUUGGAAUUGAAGCGCACUGGCUGAUUCUUUCACCAAUUACCAGAAACAAUUUCAGAACUUUAUUUCGUUCCCCAAACAAUACAGCCGACAGUAGACUCCUUCGUAAAAAGGGGGAGGCUCAUUUGUAACCAGGACCAUGGAUAUAACAAUAACAUAUUUAAUCUCUCAAUCAUUUUGAUUUACAUUUCAGAAUGUAAUUCGUAAUUUAGGGAGCUAAAUAUAAAAUUUUUAUUUCCAUUUGUUAUAAACAUUGCUUUAUUGGUAAAUUCGGAAAUUUUAAUUCCGUUUUUUAUUACAACACGACAAACAGAAACAAGUCAGAAUUUCUUGUUUACGACAAUCGAAACGAACUUAAUUUUCGAUGAAAGCCCCAUUGUAAAGUAUGGAAUAAAAUUUAAAAAAUGUUCCCUAGAAUUUUAUAAGUAUUUGAUUUGAGGCCUUCUGUUAAGUUUCUAUAAUUUGACCUUGUCGUACAUGUAUAUCUGCUAUGUCAAGGACAAUGGUUGUCUAAUGUCACAUGUUCUUAGCAGGAUCUUUAAGCAAUCAUUCCACCUACUCUAUGUGUAAAUAAUCUGUGGAGCUUCUUAAAAGGCAGCGUUUUCCACCCUCUUUGUUCGACUUUAUAAAUCUGAUCCGGGAUUAAACAUAGUGGGAGCUAUUCCGAGCUCUCUCGAUGUCGCUACAUACGCGAUGUAACCGCCGAGAAACGCCACAAACUGGAGUGAAAACGAGUAUUUGUCAAUAUUUGAGAGGCACAAUUGUCGAGAUUCUACAGACCAAGUUUCGAUUUGUCAACAUGUGGCUGAAUUCGAUAUCAAUAUCUAUACAAAUAUUUUGCCAAAUCCAAUAAAAUGACGGCAGGAAUCAAAACAAGUGAUCUAUUCAAUGGAUUAUUCCAUACUUUAGAGCUGUUUAAUGCCAUGACAUGCCGCCAUCACUAAAAUACUUCCAAGUCGGCGGCCCACGAACUUCAAUGGAUAAAACAUGAACAUUGCAUAUUGAAUUAAUAAAACUAACCACACUUUUAUCUUUAAAGCUCCCGUAUACCUCAGAUAUCCAUGCAUUGUUUUCAUGUUCUUCGUCAUCUGACAGAGCGAUAUAUUUUAAAUUGUUUAUCAAUAACAAAUUACCUGAAUACUCAACAGAGUAUCAAUUGUUGUAGAGUAUCAAUUG